AUGAUCGAGAUUCGUGCACCGGAGCCUCACUACCCCGUGGAUGAUGUAAAGGAGAUGAAAGAAUGUGAUCUGCAUUAUCCCGUGGGGAACGUUUCCACGAAGGUAGCUAGCGGCAGUGCUUUACCCUGUACACCUGGAGCACUCCACCACAACAACCCCAUUGCAUAUGGCUAUGCUCGUGUCACGGUGGAAGACAUAGUCCAAGGGUUUGAGGACCUGGAGAUUGACAAACCUACACCCGAAGGGGAGAGCAGACUUGGAGAUGUCAAGCGCCAGUUCAUUCUAUGGAAAAAGAAGUACAUAGUGUUUCCAGGCGAGGCACCAAGGCUAGCAAGUCCACCCCCCUCCGAUGGUGGUGGUGGUGGUGGCGGCGGUGGUGGUGGUCGUGGUGGUUCACCUACACCUCCUUCACGCCAUUCGACGCCGUCCCCCGAUCCACAACCUCCGGCGGGUACGACGCCCCCCAAUCCUCCUCCGGCGGGUACGACGCCCCCCAAUCCACCUCCGGCGAAGAAGCAGAAGCAGGCGGACAGCAAGGAAACCCGCUCCUGGACUAUUAACCCGGACCCUUAUGUACCUAAGACCACAAGGGUACCGGAGCCAUCACUGAAGCCUCUCCUCCCAAGGCCCGGGGAACUUAGUGAAGCUGAAACCAAAUUGGCCGCGUCUGCUGAUUAUGAGAAAUGGAAGGCGGAUAUGAAGGCGAUAAAAGAGCCUGAGCCCAAGCAAGUAUUCACUGAGAAGCAAAAGAAGUGGGCUAAGGAUUUUUUGACGACACCGUCCCAAGCCGAGCUGAAUAUGCCUGACGACUAUGGACAUGAACUUCGUAGGCAAGCAAAAAUAUUGAAGGAGGAGAAAGAAGAAAGUAAAAAAAGCGGGAAACAAGUUGACCAGCUCGGGAUGCAGAAGAAACAAUCGAUCCCCCCGCUCAUAGUGAAAGCCGGUCCGGAAGAGGACCCCGAGAUCAUAGCAGCUGCGGCAACACUUGGAUUGACUGUAGCGAGUGCCAUGAAACAAGCGUCCGAGAUGGGUUUGACUCUUCGUGCCUUCUUAGGCCUUGAGGAUGCGCCAGUAUGUGAGAUAGCAUUACAAUAUGUGCGGAAUGGGCCUCUCGUCGAGCCUGCGCGGGAGAAGAGUCUACCGCCACAAAUGCGAAAUCUGCUACGUUGGUACAAGCAAUUCAUAACAUGGGCCGACAAAGAAUAUAUUUAUGCGGAUGUUACAGAGGAGCAUCAUACCAAACGGUACUCUGUACAAGUUCAUAUGAGUGAAUUGUUCCAGCUGUUCAAUCUGCGCGACCUCGACAAAUCUAUGCUGAGUUGCUACGUUCUAUUAAAGAUUUGGGAAUGCAAAAUAAGAAACAUCCAUGAUGUUGGGUUCAUUGACCCACAUAUCGUUAAUGGACAUGUGUUACAAUAUCACCCCGAAGACGUGGAGAAAGACUUGUACAAGUUUCUUAGAAAGCAUCAACUCAAAAGUCAUAUUCUAUUUCCUUACCAUUUUGGGUUCCACUGGAUUCUGCUAAAUAUUGAACUUCACACCUCCAGAGUUCUAAUCAUGGACUCUAUGGAUUCGGAUCCAAAGCGUUGGGCCGACAUGAGAAAAAUGCUGCAAAAGGGUUUGGAGACGGUUCUCAGAAGAAAUUGUCGGUGA
rnacentral:rRNA from 1 species